GAUGAACGCUGGCGGCGUGCUUAACACAUGCAAGUCGAACGGUGAAGCAGGAGCUUGCUCUUGUGGAUCAGUGGCGAACGGGUGAGUAACACGUGAGCAACCUGCCCCUGGCUCUGGGAUAAGCGCUGGAAACGGCGUCUAAUACUGGAUAUGUGAUGUGACCGCAUGGUCUGCAUCUGGAAAGAAUUUCGGUUGGGGAUGGGCUCGCGGCCUAUCAGCUUGUUGGUGAGGUAAUGGCUCACCAAGGCGUCGACGGGUAGCCGGCCUGAGAGGGUGACCGGCCACACUGGGACUGAGACACGGCCCAGACUCCUACGGGAGGCAGCAGUGGGGAAUAUUGCACAAUGGGCGGAAGCCUGGUGCAGCAACGCCGCGUGAGGGAUGACGGCCUUCGGGUGGUAAACCUCUUUUAGCAGGGAAGAAGCGAAAGUGACGGUACCUGCAGAAAAAGCACCGGCUAACUACGUGCCAGCCGCCGCCGUAA
rnacentral:rRNA from 1 species